UCCCUAGUAGCUCAGACUGUAAAGCGUCUGUCUGCAAUGCAGGAGAUCCAGGUUCAAUCCCUGGGUUGAGAA
rfam:TPA: Bos taurus chromosome 1, whole genome shotgun sequence.